rnacentral:rRNA from 1 species
CCUACGGGUGGCAGCAGUGGGGAAUAUUGGACAAUGGGGGGAACCCUGAUCCAGCCAUGCCGCGUGUGUGAAGAAGGCCCUCGGGUUGUAAAGCACUUUCAGUGAGGAAGAACGCCUGGUGGUUAAUACCCAUCAGGAAAGACAUCACUCACAGAAGAAGCACCGGCUAACUCCGUGCCAGCAGCCGCGGUAAUACGGAGGGUGCGAGCGUUAAUCGGAAUUACUGGGCGUAAAGCGCGCGUAGGUGGCUUGAUAAGCCGGUUGGGAAAGCCCCGGGCUCAACCUGGGAACGGCAUCCGGAACUGUCAAGCUAGAGUGCAGGAGAGGAAGGUAGAAUUCCCGGUGUAGCGGUGAAAUGCGUAGAGAUCGGGAGGAAUACCAGUGGCGAAGGCGGCCUUCUGGACUGACACUGACACUGAGGUGCGAAAGCGUGGGUAGCAAACAGGAUUAGAUACCCCAGUAGUC